rnacentral:rRNA from 1 species
GCCUGGCCCUAAAUCUUGAUGCUUCAUAUUACCCAAGCAUCCGCCCGAGAACUACGAGCACAAACGCUUAAAACUCUAAGGACUUGGCGGUGCCUCAAACCCACCUAGAGGAGCCUGUUCUAUAAUCGAUGAUCCACGAUAUUACCUGACCACUUCUUGCUCAAAACAGCCUAUAUACCGCCGUCGCCAGCCCACCUACUCUGAAAGUUCAACAGUGGACGCAAUAGCCUAACCACGCUAAUAAGACAGGUCAAGGUAUAGCCCAUGGAGUGGAAGCAAUGGGCUACAUUUUCUAAAUUAGAACAUAACGGCAAAGGGACCUGAAAUGAUCCCUGGAAGGAGGAUUUAGCAGUAAAGUGGGACAAUCGAGCCCUCUUUAAGCCGGCCCUGGGGCACGU